rnacentral:rRNA from 1 species
UACGAAGGGGGCGAGCGUUGUUCGGAAUUACUGGGCGUAAAGGGCGCGCAGGCGGCGGACCAAGUCAGGCGUGAAAGCCCCGGGCUCAACCUGGGAGGUGCGUCUGGGACUGGUUUGCUGGAGUUCGGGAGAGGAGCGUGGAAUUCCCAGUGUAGAGGUGAAAUGCGCAGAUAUCAGGAAGAACACCCGUGGCUAAGGCGGCUCUCUAGUACGGUACUGACGCUGAGACGCGAAAGCGUGGGGAGCGAACAGG